GGGUAAGGCUGACACGACAAGGUUCUGCAAACCUUAACUACAGCUGUGGCAUAUCCACCUGAUGUCACAGUGUCAGAAAACUCACCAAAGAGUUUCCUCCUGCUUGCGAACUUCUGUUGACACCGAAGUUCCCUCUCAAGAGCCUCUCCUGACACCACACCAGUGGGAGCUGCACUGCACAAGCAUUAAGGCCCAGAAUCCUUCUGAAACACCCAAACCUAGACUAGCUAAGCCAUCAGUCUCCAAGCAAAAUCCUCUUCAGCUCAGACAGACAGAGCCAAUGGUGGGAGCAGAGGAAGCUGUGUGAAGCUGAGCAUUUAAUGAGUUUUGGAUAAGAUGAUUUCAC
rnacentral:lncRNA from 12 species